UCUGGUGGCGAUGCGCUUAGGGGAAACACCCGUACCCAUCCCGAACACGAUGGUUAAGACUUAAGCGGCCGAUGGUACUGCACUGGUAACGGUGUGGGAGAGCAGGUGGCUGCCAGAU
rnacentral:rRNA from 2 species